AGGAUGGCGGCGUGCUAAUACAUGCAAGUCGAACGAAGACUGUAGUAAUACUGUCUUAGUGGCGAACGGGUGAGUAACGCGUGGGUGACCUGCCCCGAAGUGUGGGAUAACAGUUCGAAAGGAUUGCUAAUACUGCAUAAUAUCCAAGAGAUUAGACGCUUUUGGAUUAAAGGAGUAAUUCGCUUCGGGAGGGGCCCGCGUCCCAUCAGCUAGUUGGUAAGGUAAUGGCUUACCAAGGCGAUGACGGGUAGGGGACCUGAGAGGGUGGCCCCCCACAAUGGAACUGAAACACGGUCCAUACACCUACGGGUGGCAGCAGUAGGGAAUAUUAGUAAUGGGCGAAAGCCUGAACUAGCAACGCCGCGUGUGCGAAGAAGGCCUUCGGGUUGUAAAGCACUUUUUGAGAGGAUGAGGAAGGACGGUACUCUCAGAAUAAGUCUCGGCUAACUACGUGCCAGCAGCCGCGGUAACACGUAGGAGGCAAACGUUAUCCGGAUUUACUGGGCGUAAAGCGCGUGUAGGUGGUUUGGUAAGUAGGGCGUGAAAGCUCCUGGCUCAACUGGGAGAGGACGUUCUAAACUGCCAAGCUUGAGGAUGGUAGAGGGAGGUGGAAUUCCGGGUGUAGCGGUGGAAUGCGCAGAUAUCCGGAGGAACACCAGUGGCGAAGGCGGCCUCCUGGACCACUCCUGACACUCAGACGCGAAAGCUAGGGUAGCAAACGGGAUUAGAGACCCCGGUAGUCCUAGCCCUAAACGAUGUAGACUUGGCGUCGGUGGUUUAAUCGCCAUCGGUGUCGUAGCUAACGCGUUAAGUCUACCGCCUGGGGACUACGGCCGCAAGGUUAAAACUCAAAUGAAUUGACGG
rnacentral:rRNA from 1 species